AUAAUUGGGCCUCCGGUAACCUCACACACACAACGCAAGCAUUGUUUCACAUCGUUCACUUUAUAAUAAAGAUAGAUACAAAAAUAAAUCUAAAUUAAACCACUACAUACAAAAACAAUUAAUUAGGUUAAGUUCUCCUGCAUAGACUAAAUAGGCGAUCACAAUGUUUAUUUACUUUGAAACAGCAGUUUAGGAACAUAUGGACCGCGUCUUGUUCCAAGGCAAGAUUCGCUGUGAUUGGUCAACGCAGAUUUCUUUUAUAGACUAGCUAAAGUAGACAAAUGCUGUCUUGGUGGCCCGGAGGUUUAAAACGCUCGCUUCUCAUUAAUGAGAGCGCGGGUUCGGAAUCAACGGGAAAGUACCAAUGUGAUGUGAACGCAAGCGUUAUUUCACGUCGGUUUUCUGUAUUACUCCGGUCGAGCCGGCCCAUUCGUGCCGAAGCAUGGCUCUCCCACACUUCUUACAAAGAUAGAUGGAAUCUUGAUGAAUUUUGGGAAGUCCUUUGAUGAUGAUUGUAGACUACAUUAUUUGAGGAAUUUUAAGAACACCAACAUUGGCGCAUAAGACACUCAAUGGGUUAAGAAAAAUCUAGAUUCUAGUUCAAUAAAAACUAAGUCAGGUGCAAAAGUUUAAACACCACAUCACAUUUCAUACUAAGGGACAAAACAUAGAAUUGAGACACGUUUUGAGCUUAAUACAUAUUACUACGAAAAAUGUACUAUGACCUUUAGAAGUAACGUCUACCGGUUUGUAAAGGGCGUGGCCUAAUGACCCACUCCGCGAUAUGGUCACAUAAUUUUGUGAUGACGUAUUAUUAAAGAUAGAAAACUUCGAAAUGUAAAGUUAGAUGGGGCAAAGACUUUUAAAAUUAAGGUAAAAGGUACAAAGGUAGUAUUAAAAUUCAUAACUGAUCCAAUUUUUUUUUUUUGACUAGCCUUCCAUCCUUAAUUUCCUCUCCGCUGCUACUCCUGUAAGCCAGGAUCUACAGUAGAUACUAUCAUGGAAACACCGGAACACUGAAGUCCGGCGCGUCCCAGGGCUACGAAAAACUGUUUUGGAUCCCGUAACGAAAUAAAUCAAAAGAAAUAAUUAGAGAAGAAAAGAUAACCCAUCUAAGCCCAAUCUAGUUUGCAUUAAAUAUGCUUCGAAACUGCUGGACUGACUUUUAAAUCCUAAAGUUACCUGAGAAUAAAAUUGUUAAAAAUAAACGCUUCUAAGUAAUUAAGUUUAAAAACAUGGCUUGUGUAAACAACAUAAAUAACAUAUUCAUUGCACUCUUCUUAACGAUAAUAUAUAACCAUAACACACAAUAAUGACCAUGCAUUAAAAUUGAUGCAAAAAACGUGAGGAGAGAACGCAGUAAGCAAUUACGUCAUUGUCAUAUUAGAGCAUAUGCUAAACACAUAUUCAGGAUUGUCAUCAGCUAAUGUUCACAUGUAAACAGCAGCUCAUGUAGUGUAGAUGUCCAGUCAACAAGGAUGUAGCGAGGUUGACUGUCCAGGCGACACACGUACUUAGGUAUCGUCAUGAGCUAAUGUUCACAUGUAAACAGCAGCUCAUGUAGUGUAGAUGUCCAGUCAACAAGGAUGUAGCGAGGUUGACUGUCCAGGCGACACAUGUACUUAGGUAUCGUCAUGAGCUAAUGUUCACAUGUAAACAGCAGCUCAUGUAGUGUAGAUGUCCAGUCAACAAGGAUGUAGCGAGGUUGACUGUCCAGGCGACACAUGUACUUAGGUAUCGUCAUGAGCUAAUGUUCACAUGUAAACAGCAGCUCAUGUAGUGUAGAUGUCCAGUCAACAAGGAUGUAGCGAGGUUGACUGUCCAGGCGACACAUGUACUUAGGUAUCGUCAUGAGCUAAUGUUCACAUGUAAACAGCAGCUCAUGUAGUGUAGAUGUCCAGUCAACAAGGAUGUAGCGAGGUUGACUGUCCAGGCGACACACGUACUUAGGUAUCGUCAUGAGCUAAUGUUCACAUGUAAACAGCAGCUCAUGUAGUGUAGAUGUCCAGUCAACAAGGAUGUAGCGAGGUUGACUGUCCAGGCGACACACGUACUUAGGUAUCGUCAUGUGCUAAUGUUCACAUGUAAACAGCAGCUCAUGUAGUGUAGAUGUCCAGUCAACAAGGAUGUAGCGAGGUUGACUGUCCAGGCGACACACGUACUUAGGUAUCGUCAUGAGCUAAUGUUCACAUGUAAACAACAGCUCAUGUAGUGUAGAUGUCCAGUCAACAAGGAUGUAGCGAGGUUGACUGUCCAGGCGACACACGUACUUAGGUAUCGUCAUGAGCUAAUGUUCACAUGUAAACAGCAGCUCAUGUAGUGUAGAUGUCCAGUCAACAAGGAUGUAGCGAGGUUGACUGUCCAGGCGACACACGUACUUAGGUAUCGUCAUGAGCUAAUGUUCACAUGUAAACAGCAGCUCAUGUAGUGUAGAUGUCCAGUCAACAAGGAUGUAGCGAGGUUGACUGUCCAGGCGACACACGUACUACGUAUAAUUUUAGAUAACAAUUGUGAGACAUACUAAAUUAACUAAAAAACACGGUUUAAUCAAUGGAGAAAAGCUCUACUCUACUACUACAUGAGCUGCUGUUUUCAGUGGGCUGCGAAGUUUCUGCGUCUGCGCAUGAUGCUCGCGAUGAAAAGUCUCACUGUGACUCGAAACUAGUAGAGCUUUUCUCCAUUAAUAAUACCUACGUGAAUAAAUCGUUAUAUUUAGUUAGGGAAUAGAUAAUAUUAAACAUUUAAUACUUACCCACUCACUAUUGUAGAAUAAAAUCACAAAUAUAUUAAAGUUGAACGAAUAACAAUUUAAAUAUUAAGCACAUGCACUUUCGAAAACCACAUUAGAGAGUGUUGUGACUGACCGUGACCAAGACACAUACCUAUUUUAAUUUUCCUUUAACAGUAACCAAUAUAUUUAUAUUAAUGCUAACACAUAUGGGGUUUAGGGUGACAUCAUCUGCGGUCACAUUAUGUACCAUGUAAAUUUCAUGAAAACAGCAACGGCAAUUUAAUUUUGUAGUUUUGUGUGUUAUUGUGAUAAAAAUAAAACUAAUAAGAAUACAAAAAUAGUUUCUUUGGGAAAGUUGUUUGUAAUCGUGAGUAUAAUCACGUGUUUAAAUAUCGUUCACUAAUUAUUAUCAGUCCAUAUAUUUAGGUUUAUUCCUAAGGCAAACUAGGCAAGUGCCGAUCGUGCGUGCGGCGCGUCGUGCGUGCGGCGCGUCGCGUUCCGCGCGCCUCUAAGAGCCAUUAGACGAUCACAGAUGGGGCUCAGCAGGACUGAUACCUGAUCCGGAGCUGCGGACUGCCUAGCGGAUUUCCCGGAGCUCCGGCUCUAAAAGCAGGAGAAGGAACGGGGUGGUUUUUAGUCAGUAAGAGUCUGACACUCCCUCUCGCCUCGCCCAAGGCGAGAGAAGUCAUUGUAUGAUUUUCCCCCUCAAAAAAAUAAAAAGGGCGCAGGGUUAACGAGCCCAUACAGAGGCGGUGGCGACAGUAAUAAUCAUCAGUAAUAAUGGGGGGUCUAUGAGGCCUAGGACACUCUCUAGGUUUAAUCCGUCUCUGAAUAAAACUAAUAAACUAACUCAUACACAAGGUAAAACAGCAUCAUCGUCAGCCUAUAAGUGGCCACGGCUGACCAAAGGCCUCUUCUCACACGGAGAAGGUUUGAGCAUUAAUCGUCACGUUUGUUCAAUGCGAGUU